rnacentral:lncRNA from 1 species
UGAAAACCUUGUUUUAUUGAAGUUAAUGACGAAAAUACCACCUUCUGUAGAAUUUAGUCUGUACUGAUUCAGAACAGGGGUUCUGUUGUAGGCUGGACUGGAUUUUCUUUUUAGAUGAUUUCUUGCACCAGGUUACUUAGGUCUAUUGUGUCUAAGCUCUUAAAUAUUGUGUGUUGUAACCAGGCAACAUGACUAACAUUUUGCAAACACCUAACUAGCUUCCUACACCAGGGCUAGAUUCACAGAAAAAUGUGCUGUUACAAGACGUGCCUUGCAAGGACAUUGCUCUACCUCAUGCAAUCCCUCUGUAGAGCUAUGGGGUGAGACUACCAUGCACACCAGCAGAGGACAGCCUUCUUACCGUCUGAAAAAUGGAAAUGGUUUUGAGGAACGUGGAGAAUGCAGCCAGCGUCACCUGACACAGCUUCACUACCCUCCAGCUGUAUUUUAAGAAACAGGAAUUACUUUUGAGACAUCCUUUUCAUUUGUAGGAAUCAGCAAAUGCUUCCCAGUGAUGAAUUCUGACCGGAGAGAGGUACCUGCUCCAGCUGUGACCCAACCUCUCCUUGUGUGGCUGGAGGAACAGCCAGACAAAGCCCAUGCCCAGGCACUUGGAAACUGAGAUCCGGGUCCCUCCUCUGCUUUAGGUCUGAGGGAGUCAGAGGUCAAAUCCACCUUCUCCAUCUCCUACAUAAAUCCUUCCUGCUGUUUUCGGAGCUGUGCUACUAUGCAGUGCUGCCAGUUCAUUUCUCUGCAGGACUCAUAGCCCAACGGUUAAGUAACCUUCUCAGAGAUGCGAGAUGUGGAUUUGAGUCUUCGCUGCAUUCAGGAGGGAGAUGGAACUAUGUCCCAGGUCCUGGUUCCAGUUCCUCAUAUUGCAGACAUGUUACUUCAGUCUGAUCUGGAGCAGAGUGGUUUCUUCAUGAUGAUGGGGGAUACAGCUGAGAAGCAGUUCAUGCUGGAGUCCACAUUAUAUCGAAUGGACACAGGCCUUCCUAUACUCCCAUCCCUGCGAACCAGUGACCUUCACUCUUCAGUGUGGGUAAGGAAGGCAGAUAAACCAUGUCCGCUCAACUUUACAAAAAAGCUGUCCUUGGUUUGGAAGGUUCCUGGAUCAAACACCAACUUCUCCAUGACUUGGCCAUUUUUAUUUUCCUCCCCUGCCCAAGGGAGAAGAAAAUCCCAAGCACUGUCAUCAUCAGCUGGCUUGCGUCCAAUAAUCCCAAAUUAAUUUAAGCGGCCAAGAACUGGGCGUUAACUUCUCUCGUAUGUCAGGAGAGUAGGUAAUAAAAUAAAAACCAAUCAGUCA